rnacentral:rRNA from 1 species
AGCAUGCGGCUUAAUUCGACGCAACGCGAAGAACCUUACCAAGGCUUGACAUAUAGGGAAAAGUGGCAGAGAUGUCAUGUCCGCAAGGGCUCUAUACAGUUGGUGCAUGGUUGUCGUCAGCUCGUGUCGUGAGAUGUUGGGUUAAGUCCCGCAACGAGCGCAACCCUCGUUCUGUGUUGCCAGCAUUUAGUUGGGGACUCACAGGAGACUGCCGGGGUUAACUCGGAGGAAGGUGGGGAUGACGUCAAAUCAUCAUGCCCCUUAUGUCUUGGGCUGCACGCAUGCUACAAUGGCCGGUACAGAGGGCUGCAAUACCGUAAGGUGGAGCGAAUCCCAAAAAGCCGGUCUCAGUUCGGAUUGAGGUCUGCAACUCGACCUCAUGAAGUUGGAGUUGCUAGUAAUCGUAGAUCAGCAACGCUACGGUGAAUACGUUCCCGGGGCUUGUACACACCGCCCGUCACGUCACGAAAGUCGGUAACACCCAAAGUCAGUGGCCCACCGCAAGGGGGGAGC